rnacentral:lncRNA from 1 species
GGGGGGAAACCACACACUCCACACUCUUGAACCUCAGGGUUAGAGAGACCCAGGUGUCACCUGUUUCCUAGACAUUUUGGGGCUGCCACUCUCUGCGUGAGACAACAGCCACCCUUUCCCUCGAUCACAUCCCCUACACUUCACUUCCUCUCUCCGUGUCCCCCUUCCUCAAUUCAGAAUGUCACCUGGUGAUAAGAUGACAUGCAUUUGAGCCUCAAUCCCCUUCCAGCAUCCCCUCUCCUCUGCCCCGCAAGCCACAAGCUGGCAGCUUUCCGAUUCCAGAGCAAGCUUGCCACACGAAUCCUGCGAGGAACAGCAGUUAUGUCUUAAUCUCCUCUCCUCCUGUCCCCACCGGAGGCUGAGCCACUCUGCCUGGUGGGAAGGACGGAGGAAGGGCAACCUGCACAGGCUUUGCCCGAGAAGGGUUCUCAUCCUCCUUGCAAAUUCUAAGAGGACACCCACCCAUUGGAAGGGUUUUCCCUCCCGCUCGCCCCCAUCCCGAACUCUCUCCACGCCCCGCUUCUUCCCCCACGCACACGGCGGCUGCACCGUCACAGAAAGCAGCCGCUGGAAUAAUCAGCGAAGCCACAGGUCUCCCCAUCUUGGCAAGUGGAGGUGUGCGCUGCCCUCAGACAUCUGUGAACCGCUGUUCAACGCCAACCCCGAAGGCAGAAGGGGAAACCAAGUCACCUCCCAGAAAGACGUUUGAUGAGCAGAGAUAGAUUUGCCUCCAGACUGGUACCAGGUCUGGGGAAACCCAGGCAGAGCCCCAGGCUCUAUGCGACCCAAAGAAGAAAAAAAUGGGUGCACAGUGAUGGCUCCAGGUCUCCCCACCCAGAUGCUACCACGAAAUCCCUGGCAUCCACGAAGCUUCCCCCUGUUCCAUGGUGGAAAUUGGGGGAAAAUGGACUUGUGUCUCCAAGCAGGGUCCAUGGACACUGGACGAUGCCUGAAAUCCCCUGGGAGGCAGGGAAAAAAGGCGCACUGAACGCUCAACCGGGGUAUAAGGAGUGAUUUUUUUUUCUCUGCUGGCAGCAGGCAGGAACCUGGGGUUUGAAUGUCCCCUUCUCUGUCGCCACCUCACGCAGACUUCAGAGGCUCUCAAGGUUUCCUGGAGAGGGGGAAAUCGUCCCCGGAGCUGACCUGCCAACCAGUAGCACCCUCCAGCGCCUCAGCCGGGCCACGCCAAAAUGACCUGUCACCCAUCUCCCGCGGGGAGUGGGGAGCGGGCCAGUCCACCGCCUCUUGGGACGGCAUCUCUGGACGGCCACUGACAGUACCAGUCUCUGUCACCCCCUGGGGGGUUAGGGGCAAUGUCAUCGGCCAGGGUGGCAGAAAUAGAAAAGUGCGUGAGCUCACCAGGCAGCCUGGGUCUCCUGCGACGUUUUGUUUGCCUGAGCCCAAUUAGAACAACUCUCAGGAUGAUGGAGUAUGGCGGGCGGUGGCCCCCAGGGGGCUGGGAGGCCUAGCCCCCAUGCAGAAGUGCACCGUCAUGAUGAGGGUGUCCCCCGGGCCUGGGGAACAGGGCAGGACCCUGCUUCCCGGAGGGAAAUAAUGAAGACUCCGCCAGCCUGCCAGCCAGAAAGAGAUGCCCCACGGAAGGCUUUGUGGAGGGCAGCGGGGGGGUAGGGGAGGGAUGCCCAGGUGGGGACUCAGUCAGGCCCAAGCUGGGGGGCUGUGGGAUUUGAGGGCGGGAA